rnacentral:lncRNA from 1 species
AGGACUAAAGGGUGUAGAGUUAAAGCUGUAUUCAAAGGAAGUGAAGGUUUUCUACACAGGAAGAGGUUUUUAUGGUAACUUGAGUCUAUUUGAAAUAUGAGCAAUUACUGAAAGGUCAUUAGAAACCCUAUAUAUAUAUAUAUUUGGGGCCUUCUAUUUUGCUAAAUUAAUUGUAAGCAGAAAUGCCUCAUGAUAGGAAUGAUGAGCCCGGUCAGCUCUGAAUUGUUUUAUAUUUCACGUUUUAACAUCUAAGUAGAAUGUGUUUCCUGUUUCUAAAGUUUUCAUCAUAACAGAAUUACAUUAUCUUCAGAAGAUUAGCAAGAUUUGGCAGGAAACUGAAGGAAAGAGAGACAAAGAGUGUGUUGUGCAUGUGUGUGUGUGAUAAGUUUUUAAGCAGUAAAACCUAACAGUACUACAUGUUACCUGACUUGUAUCGCCAAACAACCAGAAGAAUGGUUUUUCCAAACGUGGCUGUCAUUAAUGUUAAAGCAAGGAGAGGGGAGUUUAUUGGCUUCCUAAUCACCUAACUCCUCAUGCAGUGUCACUCUGAGUGCCAGGGCAAGGCUUCUGGGCAUGGCACGGUGAGCAUAGCGGGCUGUGAAAUACACACUGUAGUUGUGGUGUUAGCCCUGGGGUGUGCUGUUUCCAUAUCACAGGUCACAGCGCUUCAACACUGACUUCCCCCCAAGACCAUAUGGCUCCGUUUUAUCCAAAAGCCCACCCCAAGGGUAAGAAGAGGAUC